GACGAACGCUGGCGGCGUGCCUAAUACAUGCAAGUAGAACGCUGAAGGAGGAGCUUGCUCUUCUGGAUGAGUUGCGAACGGGUGAGUAACGCGUAGGUAACCUGCCUGGUAGCGGGGGAUAACUAUUGGAAACGAUAGCUAAUACCGCAUAACAGUAGAUGUUGCAUGACAUUUACUUAAAAGGUGCAAUUGCAUCACUACCAGAUGGACCUGCGUUGUAUUAGCUAGUUGGUGGGGUAACGGCUCACCAAGGCGACGAUACAUAGCCGACCUGAGAGGGUGAUCGGCCACACUGGGACUGAGACACGGCCCAGACUCCUACGGGAGGCAGCAGUAGGGAAUCUUCGGCAAUGGACGGAAGUCUGACCGAGCAACGCCGCGUGAGUGAAGAAGGUUUUCGGAUCGUAAAGCUCUGUUGUAAGAGAAGAACGAGUGUGAGAGUGGAAAGUUCACACUAUGACGGUAUCUUACCAGAAAGAGACGGCUAACUACGUG
rnacentral:rRNA from 1 species